rnacentral:rRNA from 2 species
UUUUUGGAGAGUUUGAUCCUGGCUCAGGACGAACGCUGGCGGCGUGCCUAAUACAUGCAAGUCGAGCGAAUCUGAUGGGAGCUUGCUCCUUCUCAGAUUAGCGGCGGACGGGUGAGUAACACGUGGGUAACCUGCCUGUAAGACUGGGAUAACUCCGGGAAACCGGGGCUAAUACCGGAUAACUUUUUUCUUCGCAUGAAGGAGAAUUGAAAGGUGGCACUAGCUACCACUUACAGAUGGACCCGCGGCGCAUUAGCUAGUUGGUGAGGUAACGGCUCACCAAGGCGACGAUGCGUAGCCGACUUGAGAGGGUGAUC